CCUGCACUCUGGGAUAAGCUUGGGAAACUGGGUCUAAUACCGGAUAUGACCACAGCAUGCAUGUGUUGUGGGGGAAAGAUUUAUCGGUGCGGGAUGGGCCCGCGGCCUAUCAGCUUGUUGGUGGGGUAAUGGCCUACCAAGGCGACGACGGGUAGCCGACCUGAGAGGGUGACCGGCCACACUGGGACUGAGACACGGCCCAGACUCCUACUGGAGGCAGCAGUGGGGAAUAUUGCACAAUGGGCGGAAGCCUGAUGCAGCGACGCCGCGUGAGGGAUGAAGGCCUUCGGGUUGUAAACCUCUUUCAGCAGGGACGAAGCGUGAGUGACGGAACCUGCAUAAGAAGCACCGGCUAACUACGUGCCAGCAGCCGCGGUAAUACGUAAGGUGCGAGCGUUGUCCGGAAUUACUGGGCGUAAAGAGUUCGUAAGCGGUUUGUCGCGUCGUUUGUGAAAACCCGGGGCUCAACUUCGGGUUUGCGGGUGAUACGGGCAGACUUGAGUGUUUCAGGGGAGACUGGAAUUCCUGGUGUAACGGUGAAAUGCGCAAUAUCAGGAGGAACACCGGUGGCGAAGGCGGUCUCUGGGAAACAACUGACACUGAGGAACGAAAGCGGGGUUAGCAAACAGGAUUAGAUACCCUGGUAAUCCACGCCGAAACAGUGGGCGCUAGGUGUGGGUUCCUUCACGGGAUCUGUGCCGUAGCUAACGCAUUAAGCGCCCGCCUGGGGAGUACCGCCGCAAGGCUAAACUCAAAAGAUUGACGGGUGCCCGCACAGCCGCGGACCAUGUGUAUUAUUCGAAUCAGCGCCAGAACCUAACCUGGGUUUGGAUGUCUCAGUAUAACCUAGAAUUACGGUCCCCCUUGUGGUCUGUGUACAAGUGGUCAUUUAGUUUAUAAGCUCGUGUCGUGAGAUGUUGGGAUAAGUCCCGCCACGAGCGCACCCCUUGUUUUAUGUUACCAGCAGGUAAUGGAGAGGGACUUGUAAGAACUGCCGGGGUCAACUCGGAGGAAGGUGGGGACGACCUCAAGUCAUCAUGCCCCUUAUGUCCAGGGCUUCACACAUGCUACAAUGGCCAGUACAGAGGGCUACGAGACCGUGAGGUGGAGCGAAUCCCUUAAAACUGGU
rnacentral:rRNA from 1 species